AUGAAUUCACAAAUUCAAGACUUGGAAAAAAAAGGAAUUCCCUCCUAAUUAUUUGGGUCUAAAUUUUUGUGCCUAAAUUAUAGCCCUCUUCAUCUAUUAGAUUGAACAGUAAGAUUAGAAAAUCAGAAACCCUACAAGCCUAAAGCUUUCAAAAUCAAUCAUUUAUAGAGAAGGAAAAUUUCUCAUUAAUUACUCAUGUGAAUCAACCUAAUAUCCCCAGAAGAAAGAUUAUCAAACGAAAUUGGGUUACUCCAACAUCUGAUGUUUUCUCUAUUUGUCUUCUUACAAAUUCGAGGCUUUAUAGCGGAUUCAUAUAGCUCAACGACUAAAUUACUCUUACUAUGCUUUUGGACUGCACAGGUUCUUAAGGAGGGAGGAAUGGAAGACUAAGAGGAAAAAGAUUUUACCUGUAAAUUUAUGAAAUUAGAGCAGAAAUGACAAACUAAAAUCGAUGUUGAUCCAGCUAAGGUGCACUUGGAGACCGUGAGAGGAGAGAAAGAAGAAGACUAUGCGACUCUGGAUCUCAAAGAAGAUGGUAUCACAGAGGAAUUCUGUAUUGUGAAUGUAUUUUAAUUGAAAUUUAAAAUUAUGUGUAACUUGAAACAUGUUUUGGCAAAAACUUUUGAAUUCUGUUAGUUGCAUUAUUAAGUUCUCAAAACUAACAAUGCUUGUGGCAAAUUCUUCAGUUUGUAGCAAUAAAUUUUUGAA